AACGAACGCUGGCGGCAGGCUUAACACAUGCAAGUCGAACGCAUCCUUCGGGGUGAGUGGCAGACGGGUGAGUAACGCGUGGGAACGUGCCCUUCAGUUCGGGAUAACCCGGGGAAACUUGGGCUAAUACCGGAUACGUGCGAGAGCAGAAAGAUUUAUCGCUAAAGGAUCGGCCCGCGUCUGAUUAGCUAGUUGGUGGGGUAAUGGCCCACCAAGGCGACGAUCAGUAGCUGGUCUGAGAGGAUGAGCAGCUACAUUGGGACUGAGACACGGCCCAAACUCCUACGGGGGGCAGCAGUGGGGAAUAUUGGACAAUGGGCGCAAGCCUGAUCCAGCCAUGCCGCGUGAGUGAUGAAGGCCUUAGGGUUGUAAAGCUCUUUCGUCCGGGACGAUAAUGACGGUACCGGAAGAAGAAGCCCCGGCUAACUUCGUGCCAGCAGCCGCCGUAA
rnacentral:rRNA from 1 species